CCAGUUUUCUCCUUCAACCAUUUCUCCUCUACCUUACUCUUCUCGAUCUCAUGUUCGUCUUUCAGAGUCUCGCUUAAAACCCUUUAAUCGGUUGGUUCAAGGGAGGGCUAAACCAACAAAGAAUAGUGAAGAGUAGAGAAGAAACAGAGAAGAUUAGAGAAGAAGAUCGGUUAGCAUCUGAAGAAACUCCAUCAAGAGCUGCUGAAGCUGCCCACAAAAGGGUCUUAUAUUGAAAAUUAUCCAGAGCCACCUGCUAACACUACUACGGAAACCCCAACUGAUAUUGCAGAACAACCCAAGCUCAUGAGUGCUGCUCUGGUUAAGGCUGCAAAGCAGAGUUAGGGUCAAAGAAGCCUUGGAUUUUCAACAUGAGGAGACGUUUGAUUGAUGGAGAUCGCAGUAUCUAAGAUAUCAACACUUGUAGUCUGCAGUAUGUAUUACCAAAAAAGCCUGCCUAAAGAAAUUUACAGAUAAAGAAGAACUUUACAUAAUUAACUUCCUUUGUCUAGAGAAACCAGAGUUACAAAACCUUGAAAUGUUUCUACAGUGGUCCCAUAUUGUUACAAAACCUUGAAUGGUCCUGCAGUUAAUGAAUUGGCAUCAGAUUUUAGCUUACACUUUUAGGUAGCGUUGUUCUACUGUCCCUGGUAAGUAUUAAAACUUUGUCCCAUUACACUGUUUAAGCACAUUGUUAUACUGUUUUAGCUUACUGGGUGUCCAUAAGGUAUUCAUUUUUUUAGUGAAUCAUCUGUGGGUAGUUUUUGUUCUUAAAAUUGCAAAGCUGUCUUGACCAUGAGUGCAUAUUUACAAAAUUCUGUGUAGGUAACUUCCAUGUUUCGAGAAUAUAGGCUGGUUUGUGAUACUAUCUCCAGUUUGUAGGUAGCCCUGUGUUACUUUCUCUUUGUAUUCCAUCAUCGUAGAUGAUGAUUGAAGGUCAUACGAAGAGCUUUUGGUGAUGAUACUCUUAUCUGAAGAACAAGGUUACAUGAAGAACAUGGAAUUAUGCUGGGAUUCAUCAUCCAUUUUGAAAAGAAUAGAACUUUUGUAUCUUGAGUCUUUGUGCUGUUGCAAGAUCUUUUUUUUUGUUCUUUUGUUUGUUCACUUUUACCUAGUUAGAUUGGCAGUACCAUUGGGUACAUAUUUAGCUAGAUUGGCCUUUGUUGUGUUGCAAGAUCUUUUCUUUUUCUGAAACAUUUUUGUGUGCAG